GCCCGCCCGCCCGUCGGGGCGGGACCUCGCGGGGGCGGAGCCCACGGUGAUUGGGCGCGAGCGCGGGCCCCCAGUCCGAACGGGGCUGCGGGGCCGCGCAGGUUUCACUUCGCUCCGCGCAGCCUCCAGGUCCCCGUCUUGUAGUAGCACUCUGCGCCGCGUCGCCGCCACCACCGCCACGGAGUUCUCGCAGCAACCCUGAGCACCCUGCCCCACUGCGACCAGCAUCGCCUCGGGCUGCUCGGUUCGCCUCUCUCACGCCGCCACCGCCUCGGCGCCCUUCCCCUGGCUCUCGUCCCCCCAAUGUCUGACUCUGACUCUCGAACUGAGAAACGCAAGGCUGAGGUUUCGGGGCAGCUGCUGCGUUCGCUCUCUCGGACGUGUCUGGGGACCCCGCCCGGUCUGCGGGCGCCCUGCGGGCGAGGCCAGCCUCACGAUCAGUAGACAGCGAGACACCGAGUGCCUUCUCCGACCGCCGGGGCCACGCGGUGGACCAGUCUCGGAUAGCAGAAUCUGCUCCGUCCGUGGGGCCGAGCUGUCUUAACGACUCGGGCGUGCCCGAGCGCACCCCGACCCACUGGAAGUGCUGGCUAGCACUGCCGUGCCCUCGGGGGCCUGUUACUCAGGGUCGGAGCGAGCAGUGGGAGGCCCUCCGGACGCGGGGGCUGGGGUGUGGGGAGCGUUUGUUGCCUGCGGCAGCCACGGGUGCGCGCGGAUAUGCGUGCGGGUGGUCGCUUAGGUUAGGUGCGGGUCCGCAGCGCACAGGAAGAAACGGAGAAAGUUGAAGGAUGGGUGCUGCAACUGUGGAGGGGGCGGCUUGGGGUCCUCAAACCAACAAGCCUGGGCGGAGGCCGGCGGCCGGCGGCCAGCGGCCAGGACGGGUCUGGGGAUAGAGCUCUGCAGGCGCGGGGCGGGCGCGGGUCCUGCUUUGUUUCCAGGUGACCAGCCCUUUGGGGUGGUGGGAGCCACUGAGGCGCGCGGGCACCGGCGCGGGGCAGGGCAGCCUGGGCAGCGCCGAGGCCCCCGAGUCUCCUCGGAGGCUCCCGCCGCUGCCGCCGCCGCAGCCGGAGCGGUGUUCCGAGGCGAGUUUGUCAACAAUCGCCUCGCCUUUGGCGGCUGACCCGUAGGCGCCGCCCCCGCCCCCGCCGGCGAUUGGCUGUCGCGCGGAGCGAUCGCGCGCGAGCCAAUUGGGAGCGCGGGCACCCGGCGCCAGCGGCGUGGGGAGGUCGGCGGUGCCGGCGGCGGCGGGCGCAGUGCGCGAGGGGAGGAGCGGGAGGAGGCGGAGGAUGUUCCCGGCGGCGGCAGCUGCGGCCGGGGCUGCGCGGGCCAGAAGCGCGGCGCGCGGAGUCCUCGGCUCCCUGGAGGAGCGCGGCCCCGGGCGGGCGGCCAGUUGCAGGCUCAGUGCUGCCCCGGGGGCUCUGAACGCGAGUCCCGGGCUUUGUCUCCUGCGCUGCCUUCGUGGCGACGGUCCGGGGGCUACGGGUCGGCGGAGGGCGCGGGCCGGACGCCGCGGGGCCCGGGUCCGAACGCGACGCUUGGAAGGGAAGGGGAGGACAAAAAAAGACCAAAUGGCCAAGCAACCUUCCGAUGUAAGCUCUGAGUGUGACAGAGAAGGCGGACAAUUGCAGCCUGCAGAGAGGCCGCCUCAGCUCAGGCCUGGGGCCCUCAUCCCUCUACAGACAGAGCCGCAAGGUAAUCCCGAAGGUGGAGGGGACCGCUGCCCUCAAGGCAGCCCUCAGGGCCCGCUGGCCCCACCGGCCAGCCCUGGCCCUUUUGCUACCAGAUCCCCGCUUUUCAUCUUUGUGAGAAGAUCCUCUCUGCUGUCCCGGUCCUCCAGUGGGUAUUUCUCUUUUGACACAGACAGGAGCCCGGCACCCAUGAGUUGUGACAAAUCAACACAAACCCCAAGUCCUCCUUGCCAGGCCUUCAACCACUAUCUCAGUGCAAUGGCUUCCAUGAGGCAGUCUCAGGCUGUACCAGCAGAUAUGCGCCCGGAGAUAUGGAUUGCACAAGAGUUGCGGCGUAUUGGAGACGAAUUUAAUGCAUAUUACCCAAGGAGGUUAGAGCAAUAGAGGAAGUUGUCGUGUAGUUAUCAUGUGUUCAGUCCACUUAAGGGCGGUGGGGAAGCAUAUGAAACGGAGCGGUGGCGGCUGCAUCCUCGAAGGAGGAGGUGAGAGAGGCACAGGUCUUUUUGAAUAAUUACCAAGCAGCCGAAGCGCAUCCCCAAAUGAUUAUCUUACGGCUAUUACGUUACAUCGUCCGCCUGGUAUGGAGAAUGCAGUGACGACGGGCUCCUCGUGGAGUCAGGAUAUGUGCAGACAUUUCGCUUGUUCAGACUGGCAAGCGCCAGCACCACGGUCUCGCUAUGCAGCCAGUGGUCCUUUCCCAGAGGGCGUGCAGAGUGGCUGGCGAUACACUCCUGAAGACACUGAGCUGCACAUGAACUUGACCUUUCACCACACACGGCAGAAUUUCUAAUGGAAGUUUGUUGUGAAUGUAAAUGAGGAAAGAUUCUAUUUUUUUUUUUUUAAUGUACAGAUCAUGGUUCUUUGGAACAGGAUUUUAUGCAAAAAUGGUGUUUACAUGUGGUGUGGGUUUUUUUUCCACCUUCUUUAAUAAGAACAGGUUUUUCAAAAAGGAAAUGGAAACUUUUUAACCAACUUGUGAAUGAUUUUUGUACUAAAAUUUUGAGAACCUAUUGCCUGCUCUCAGAGGAUUAUGUAAACUCUGCAGUGGAAACUGAGCCAGCUAGUUUAUAAAGCUGCCUUAGUUUAUUUUUAAAGGUUACUGUACAGAAUUUUUAAAUGGGAGAGGUAUGAUAGGGCCCCCUCCCUUCCCUGCCAUUGUUCUUUGACUUUUUUUUUAUCGUCAUUAUUAAUACCAAAAAAGUUCUUAAGAAAUGGAACUGAUUGAUGGGGCAAAGGGUCUGUUGGCAGCCUGUAUUGAUACGCCACUCCCAUUUUGUAAAUAUUUUCAUACCUCCUCAAAUUCAGUUGCAUCUGUGGCAAAACUUCAGACUCUUUUGUGUUUUUCCUUAUCUUCUCUUGAGAUGGCUCCUCUAGUCUGGAUGCUGAUGCAAGAACUUGGUCCAGCGUAUUUUCUUGAGGAAAGGUAACGGGGUUAGAACAUGAGCUGGUAUCUGCCUGUAUCUGCAUAGCUCACUCGCUCGGUCUGGCUGUAGCUCACUAAAUGGGAACUGCUUGCCGUGAAUUUCCUUCUGGCCUCAACGGACCUGUCAUUCAGAAGCGUUCUGAAGAGUUAAUGGCUGUCAUAGCAUAGACGAAGGGUUACGUCCCUUUGCACCGUUGGCUCUCUGGACACAGGCUGUCCUGCAGUCACAGGAUGCGCUCAGCAUAAGGGCCCCCGGUGGUUAACAUGCCUGCUGCGACUGAGUCCUCCUGCAGGUGUCCGAGCUUCAGCCCUGUGGGAAUUGGCGCGGGCCAGGGGCAGGGCUUGGGAUGGCUAUUUCCUGGGCAUCCUGGCUUCUUGACCAAGUCAGAGUUCCUCUGGCCUCUGGUGCCUGACACUAGGUUCCCGCUCCUCCAAAUCUGCUUUGCAAUAAAGGCUUCAUUUUGCUUUCAGCAGUGCCAUAGAAAGCCUCGAUUGGGCCCAAGUCUGACAUGGUGCCUCAGCCUCUGACAGGCGUCGAUUUUCCUUGUCCCGUUUCUCUUGGGACAGUUGGGUUUUGUCAGGCCACCCUUUGUUCGGAUGAGCACCUCUGCUGCCUGUGGAGGUCGUCAUGAGGGGUAGACAUGAGUUGGCCAGUCAUUGCAAAGGCAGACACCUGGAGAGACCCAAAAAAGGGUUUAGGGGGCAGCAAAAGGAGAGGUGGGGGUCAUUCCAUGGAUCCUGUAUCUCACACUGUUACAUUAAGUGGAAAAAUCCAUUCAUUUGUAUCUUCAUAAUUUUAUAUAAAUAUAUAUAUACAUAUAUGUAUAUAUUGCAUAUACACCUUUUCCUUUAGGUAGAGAUACUUGAUUCCAAAUACUCUUCCUUUUUAAAAAUGUCCUUUUCCCCAAAUAUCUUGUUGGGGUCUUGCAUAUUUUUAAAGCUGUGUUGAGUCUUGCUUGUGUUCUUGACCUAUCUUGCACCCCUUUGUCAGGUCCUAAAGGCCACACGGUUGUAAGGUGACAGGAUGCAGCUGUGGACCUGCUAGGCACACACCAAAGACAUACUUGGUUCUGGGCCCUUCCUUCCCAGGACCUCCGUGCUCAGCACCAGCUUCUGUGGCUGGAGCACUUUAUUCUUUCAAUACUGCGGCUCCCUGGGAAUGGUGCCUGAGAGCUGUGCUCCUCCCACAUGAGCAAAUUUCCCUCUGGCUUGGCGGCAUGCAGGCCUCCCCACCGGCUGUGAAAGCAGCUCAUGGGGAAUUGAGAGAUGCUAUGAAUUGUAGAAGUACUAGACAGUGGGAUCUUGCACCAGAACUUGAGAGCGAUGGCUGGAUGUCUCUGUACUGUACUGAGCUGUUUAUCAAGAUGCCUCCCUGCAGAAAGGUUACUGACUGUGGUAUACCUUUUACUUUUCCCUUCUUUACCUUUUUGUAGAAAAAUACAGCAGAUCGCUUUUCUUAAAACUUAAUGCGGGUUUUGUGCCUUGACUGCCUCUUCUCACACGAGGUUUGUAGAAAGUGUCCUGUGACUUUUCACAGAAAUGCAAUAAAACACAAAUUAUCAUGAGCGAUUCUUCAGAUUAUCUAUGUUCCUGCCUAGAGAUAGGUUUAUCAAUUUUUUUUCUUUUUUGGUUGUGGAGAACCCAGGUAAAAAUUCAUAAGGAUUAAAAAAGUGUACACAGUAGAAAACAGCUUUCUCCUGUUUCCCCUUCUUGAUGUUGUAUAUAUUUUGACUAUUUAUUAGAUUAGGAAGUCAUAUUUUACUUAUCAACUGAGCCAAAUGUCUGUGUGCAAUUGUGGUUUCUUUUAUCUUGUAAAAUUUUGUACAGCAUGAGUGAGUAAAAGUCACUGUUUUUACUUUCUCAGAUUUGAGGAUUGUAAAUAUUGUAGAUUCUUUUUCUGUGUAAUGUGUCCUACUGUUUCAUAAUGCUGUAACCUGUAGAAAUAUUGUAUAUUUAUUUCCUGCUUAUUUAAUGUCUGAAAUUCAGAAAAGUAUUGACCUCCCCAACCCCUUCCCCUGCCUUCCCAAUAAUUGCUUUAUUUCCAAGGUGGUGACUAGUCAGCUCACUGCAGCCUUCCCAGGGUGGCCCUGCAGCUUUGGAUGUUGGUAUUUCUGGUCAGAUGUGUUUAAGUUCUUGAGACUUGCUGUCUUUAGGUGAAGUUUUUGUUUGGACACCAGUGAGAGUCCCUAAAUCUGGAAGGUGACAGAAUUCUGCUCUAAGAAAUGCCCAAUGACUCCGUUCGUUCCAAAAGAGCUAGUGGCUCAGAGAGGCAAAUCCUAUGAACUAUAUAGGCUGUUAUCUUUUUUUUUUUUAAUGUAUUGGGACAGAUCUUCCCUUUGACAAUUUAUCCCUGACAACUCAGUGUUCAGAAAAAUAAAACCAUGUCCCUCCUAGAUGUGCUACUACAAGACUGUCCAGGACAAGGGCCAGGCGAGACGGAGGGACAGCUGGGACAGGUCGCCCUGCUUCAUUCAAGAGCAACAUCAGAACCACCUUGCUGCCACCCCUUGUCGGCAACUGAUGCGCAGUUGGAUUUCCCCCACUGCUGUGCUGGGAGGCGUGGACUAAGUUGUCUUCAGGGGCUAGUUGUACAGCCCCCUAGCCCUGAACCAUUUGGUCCCCACGUUUGGUCAGCCUUGCUUUCUCAGGCUGAUGGCUUCCUUCCACUCCUUCAUGGCCUUCAAGAGAAGUUGGGGGCCCCGCUAGACUGGGUGUAAAGAUGUGAAAGCUUGUGGAAGCUUUAGAGGCUUCUGAGUGCCUCUGUGUUGCUGGUUCUGUUGUCCCUGCUGAGUUAGCCUGGUGCCUAUGUGUGUUCGCUGCACAUGCAUGUGUGCAGGCAUGUGUCCACACGUGACGCUAAACAAGCUGGGAUAACUCCUGCUCUCCCAGGGGCAUGGUGUGCAAGAAGCAUCCAAAGCUCCCACCUUAGUGAGUUGACUACUUUUCCUUGGAAUCUGAUUUUAGAAACUCUUACUCCUACAUUGUAUGUCCAGGUUCUGUGACCACUAGUUACUGUAUCAACUCAUCAGGUACACCUUUAUAAAUAGCACUGACCUGUCUGCAUACGACCCAUCACUAACCUGUUCCCUAGAGCCCAGCGUAUGUAGCAUUUGUACCGCAGUUUCCCUGGCUUACUUGUGUUUUGCACUGAUGAAUUUUGACAGGGGUAAUUGCCACUUUACUUGUGCAAUAUACUGCUGUAAAUAGCUGCAGAUUUUUUUUUUAAGAGACUCAAUCUUUUAUGUUCUUGACGAAUUUAUAUAAAUAAAACUUUCAACUAGU